rnacentral:lncRNA from 1 species
UACUAUCUCUGGAUGCAGGCUCACAGAUCUGUGUGACUUCAAGAAAUGCAGCGUUUAAAGGGAGACAAAAGAGACCGGGACGACAGCACAGGAUGUGGGUGAUUACGUCAGAGGAUGUUCUUUUCCUCUGAAGAUGCGCUGACAUUUCUAAGAGUAAGAUGGCACAAUACGACAGGCUGAUCUCCAGAUGGCUUAGCUGAGGAGAAGUGAGAAUGCCAGCCUAGAAGGAGCAAAGGAGAGCCAGUGUGGGAAGUGCUUGCCAGCCUCUGCCUCUGCCCGAAUGGACACACGGACACUCGCUGCACUCUUCUUUCCAUUUCCCUCAGGUAUCUCUGCCUCUCUUCACUGCUACAAACAAACAGCAAACUGCAAACUCCUGGCAGUGCUGCUGGGAUGAAGAUUGAGAGGAUACAGCCAGACUGGCUCUCUUCCCCACGAAAACAUCUGGUAUGAAUCAGGCCUUGCAGGCCCCUAGAGACAGCAGCUCUCGAACCCAACCCAGCCUUAUGGCUUAAGGGCUUUGACACCUGGGGAAGAUGACUCUUGCCUGUGAACAACAACUGCAGGGUGAGCUGGAACUGCUCUUGCAGGCAUGAUCUGUAAGGACGGGAAGUAAGAAAAGGUCUUGAAACUUCCAAUCUCCUGGGCCCAUCAGGAAGAACUCGGGAUAGUCCAGACCCCACCC